rnacentral:rRNA from 1 species
UACAGAGGGUGCGAGCGUUGUCCGGAAUCACUGGGCGUAAAGGGCACGUAGGCGGCCUGAUAAGUAGGGGGUGAAAUCCUGCGGCUUAACCGCAGGGCUGCCUUCUAAACUGUCAGGCUAGAGCACAGUAGAGGCAGGUGGAAUUCCCGGUGUAGCGGUGGAAUGCGUAGAGAUCGGGAAGAACAUCAGUGGCGAAGGCGGCCUGCUGGGCUGUUGCUGACGCUGGAGGCGCGACAGCGUGGGGAGCAAACAGG